CUAGUACCAAAAAAAAAAAAAAAUUAUGUUGAUCUUGUUCUAAAAUUUUUAAGAGUUAAGAUUUAAGCAUAUGUAAAUGCUCCCCACAUAACUAAAUAUUUUUGUUAUAUGUAAAAUAUUGUGUAAAGUAAAUGUAAAAGAUAUUAUGCCAGGAUGUUUUAGUUUUUACUUUUGCCAUUUAAUUCAGUAUGCAGUUUUCUCAGAUCCUUUCACUGUCUUCUAUAGCUACUCAUCCAUUCUCUACUCUCCCCUUUCUCCCAUCACCCCAUAACUCCUCCAUCCUAUAAACUUACCCCAAAAGACUUACCAUUACUUUAUCACACAUAAGAUAUUAGUGUGGGAUGGGAAUAUGGCUAAGAGAUAGGAUAUGACUCUUCCCUUAAAGCAGAACAUAAUUGAUCAGGCCAAGUCAACAUGUCUCCCUGAGGAGGCUGACACCUUGAGGUCAGCUCAUCCGAUGACGGGUAAGGACCAUAUGUAGUAUUGGACAACCUAAGACAGGCAUGGUUCCUAAGCCACAUGCUUGUUAUUUAUUUAAACAGAAGGGGGGAGAUGUUGAGAGCCACAGUUUAGUCAGAAUGACGCCUGGCAUUUUUGCCAAAGGGAAUGGUUGAAAGGUGACCCUGCUCCAGGAUUAGGGCAGCUCUGGGAUUAGGGCGGAUCCUGCUGCCUCGGGCACCCACUACUUUGGAUUUCCCAUUNGCAUUAUUAUUUUUACAGAUGAAAAGUAGUUUACAUACAAUUUUAUAUAAACUGCAUAAUCCAUUACACAAACAGAACUGCUUAUUUUCAAAUGACAAAAUGUUCUAUCCAACUUAAUUAAAAACUUCUCCUGGAUUUGGACAUGCCCCUUUGCAAAAUUGGCCACUAUUCUAAUUCUCAGUCACCAAUUAAAAUCAGCACAGCAAAAUUACUGAAGACUGCAUGCUGGAAAAAAAAAAACUAACAAAGGGAUGGCCAUAUCUGUUUUAAGUACAAACUAACUUGACUUUUCACUACCAGCUUUCUUUAAAUUAUGCCAGGCAAGGUGGUGCAUGCCUAUAAUCCUUAGUGGUUUGAGUGGUGGAGACAAGCAAGUUCAAGGUCAGUCUUAGCAAUUUGGCAAGGUCCUAAACAACUUAGUGAGACCCUGUCUAAAGAUUCUUAAAAAAUUUUAAACAGUUGGGGAUACUGUAGCUCAAUGGCAAAUUGCCCAUGGGUUAAUUCCUAGUACCAAAAAAAAAAAAUUAUGUUGAUCUUGUUCUAAAAUUUUUAAGAGUUAAGAUUUAAGCAUAUGUAAAUGCUCCCCACAUAACUAAAUAUUUUUGUUAUAUGUAAAAUAUUGUGUAAAGUAAAUGUAAAAGAUAUUAUGCCAGGAUGUUUUAGUUUUUACUUUUGCCAUUUAAUUCAGUAUGCAGUUUUCUCAGAUCCUUUCACUGUCUCCUAUAGCUACUCAUCCAUUCUCUACUCUCCCCUUUCUCCCAUCACCCCAUAACUCCUCCAUCCUAUAAACUCACCCCAAAAGACUUACCAUUACUUUCUCACACAUAAGAUAUUAGUGUGGGAUGGGAAUAUGGCUAAGAGAUAGGAUAUGACUCUUCCCUUAAAGCAGAACAUAAUUGAUCAGGCCAAGUCAACAUGUCUCCCUGAGGAGGCUGACACCUUGAGGUCAGCUCAUCCGAUGACGGGUAAGGACCAUAUGUAGUAUUGGACAACCUAAGACAGGCAUGGUUCCUAAGCCACAUGCUUGUUAUUUAUUUAAACAGAAGGGGGGAGAUGUUGAGAGCCACAGUUUAGUCAGAAUGACGCCUGGCAUUUUUGCCAAAGGGAAUGGUUGAAAGGUGACCCUGCUCCAGGAUUAGGGCAGCUCCAGGAUUAGGUUGGAUCCUGCUGGGAAUAGGGCAGCUCCAGGAUUAGGGCGGAUCCUGCUGCCUCAGGCACCCACGUUGAGUUCUCGUGGGGUUCUGAGAGAAUUGGCGCGGAGUCUGGUGGAGGGAGUGUGUUCCCGGGAAGUGUGUGUAGAGUGCCAGUGAGAGUUCGGGAAUAAACAGUUGCUGUUUGAACCUACAAGGCUGUGUGGCGGCUCGGUUAUUUGUGCCCAGCCAGACUGCGGCAUUUGGUAGCCCAUGCGGGGAACGCCUGAAGCUUGGAGGUAAGUGAAAUUGCUCGCCCAUGAAGGAGAGCGAAAGAAUGGGUGACCAUUUCAAAAAACAAUGUGUUCUUGUUUUGAUUUAUUUUGUUUUUAUUUCAAGCUGCCUGUCCCUAGAACUUUCUCAGGCAAACUGGGGAAAAUGGUUGGCUCAAGGUUUGAAGUUGUUCGCCCCUGAGGAACAGAUAGAGAUAGACCACAAAUGCACAUGUCAAGAAAAUAGAAAAACUGAUACAACGAUUUUUUGUUCCAUUUUUGUUUCAUUCUGUUUCGGUUUUGUUUUGCGUUAUUUUGUUGGGUUGCGUUAUCUUUAUAAUAGAUCAGAAAUUAGUAAAAAAACAAACCGAAAGAAUGUUAAGUAAAUUGUUAGAGGUCCAGACUAUGGUAGAUCAAGUAAAAGAGAAGGUCUCUCGAGUUAGUCAGACUGAAGUAGAAAAUUUAAAGGAAAAGGGGCUAUCAGAAAAAAAGUUACAACAGGAGGCUGCUACUAACACCUUUCUAUCACCAGAGGGCUACCAACCAACAGCUCCACCUAUAGAGACAACAUAUGCUGUGGGGCCCCCAACCCCCGUAGUUGAUAGAUGGGAUCCUGAGACAAGACCUCAAAGAUUAGCAUGCUCUGUAUUUGAGCAGACAGGAGGGCAGUGAAUUCACCGUACUUUAGAUUUCAAAACAGUGAAGCAGCUAAAAGAGGCUGCAACAACCUAUGGUCCCUAAGCACCCUUCACUGUAAGCAUGGUCGAAUCCAUUACCAACUUGGACAUGACUCCAGCAGAUUGGGCUAGCAUGUGUAAAGCUGUGCUAAAUGGAGGGCAAUAUUUGUUAUGGAAGGGUUGCCAAUCAGGAAUUUUGCACGGAGACAGCUAGGCGAAAUGCAGCAGCCAGUUAUCCUCAGAGAAAUCUAGAUAUGUUGUUAGGACAGGGACCUUAUGAGGGUCAGCGGCAACGAAUUGAAUAUGAUUCUGCUAUAUAUUCACAAAUUGCUGCAGAUGCGGUUAGGGCAUGGAAGACUUUACAAGGACAUGGAGAUUUACAAGGACAAUUAUCUAAGGUUAUACAAGGAGCUAAUGAACCUUACGCUGAAUUUGUAGAUAGGCUUAUUCAAACAGCUACCAGAGUUUUUGGGGAUACAGAACAAGCAAUGCCAUUAAUUAAACAGCUAGCCUUUGAGCAAGCAAAUCGUUGGUGCAAGGAAGCCAUUAGACCAUGGAAACAUGAAGAUUUAAACACAUAUAUUAAAUUAUGUAGAGACAUUAAUAAACAAGGGCAAGUCUUGGCAGCUGCAGUACAACAGGCUUUAGAUGCCAGGCAUCAUUCUGACUAAACUGUGGUUCUCAACAUCUCCAGCUAGCUGAGAGAGAAAUGUAAGACAGACAUGAUCCACUACAGCAGGAAAUAAAAUUCAUCCUGGCAAGAGCUGGGAGGAUCUAUCUACAGGAAGCUGUGGAAAUCUCAUAUCAAAUCUCAUAUUAUAAUCGAU
rnacentral:lncRNA from 1 species